UACGAAGGGGGCUAGCGUUGCUCGGAAUCACUGGGCGUAAAGGGUGCGUAGGCGGGUUCUUAAGUCAGAGGUGAAAUCCUGGAGCUCAACUCCAGAACUGCCUUUGAUACUGAGAGUCUUGAGCAAUCUAGGGGCGAGCGGAACAAACGGUGGAGCGGUGAAAUGCGUAGAUAUCGUUUGGAACGCCAACGGUGAAAACAGCUCGCUGGGGAUUUGCUGACGCUGAGACACGAAAGCCAGGGGAGCGAACGGG
rnacentral:rRNA from 1 species